rnacentral:lncRNA from 1 species
GGAAAUGGAGUCAAGGUGAGGUUAGAAAGCUACUGGGCUCCUGAGGGAAUAUUUGCCCCUUCUCUGGGGUCUCUACACUAGACCUUGUGAAUUUCAGCUCACCUCUCUGUCAUAGGAUAGCAACAUGUAUUCAACACUCUGGGAGCUGUUUUCUGUGGCCACCUCCUGUUUGGCUGUCCUCUCAGUGCUUCCUGGCCUGCCCUAGAGGCUUGACUGGCAUUGCCACCUCCCGCAGGAAUAGCUGCUGGAGCUCUUCCCAGGGGAGCAGCAUGGCCUAGUGGCUGCAGAGCGGGACUGCAGCCUGGGUAUUCAUGAUCCCCUCAGUAUCCUUCCCACCCUGAACUCAGCAUAUCAGGGUUAGGGUCAGAGUUAGAGUCAGGGUCAGGGUCAGGGUCAGGGUCAGGGUUAGGGUCAGAGUUAGGGUUAGGGUUAGGGUUUAGGGUUUAGGGUUAGGGUCAGGGUUAGGGUUAGGGUUUAGGGUUAGGGUUAGGGUUUAGGGUUAGGGUCAGGGUUAGGGUCAGGGUUUAGGGUUAGGGUUAGGGUUAGGGUUAGGGUUAGGGUUAGGGUUUAGGAUAGGAUGAGAUGGGGCUGCUCCUAGCUCACCCAGCACAACGCACAUUCUAGAUAGGGUCUCUCCUCUAGCAGGUCACAGCUCCAGCCCAGUGCCUGGCCGAGAGAGAGAGAGAGAGAGAGAGAGAGAGAGAGAGAGAGAGAGAGAGAGAGAGAGAGACAGAGACAGAGACACAGACAGAGACACAGACAGAGACAGAGACACAGAGACAGAGACAGAGAGACAGAGACAGAGAGAGCAUAAACAUGAAUGUACAUGUGCAGGUGGAGGUCAGAGGUCAAUUUCUGGUGUCACUCUUCAGAAGCCAUCCACCCUGUCUUUUGAGAUGGGGUCUCUUACUGGCCUGGAACUUGCUGAUUCACUUAGACUGGCUGGCGAGUGAGACCUAGGGAUCCUCUGGUCUCUCUCUGCCUUCCCAGUUCUGGGGUUACAAGUGCAUGCCACUAUGCCUAGACAUUUUGGCAUAGGUGCAGGGAAUCACACUCAAGUUCUCCUGCUUACAGAGCAAGCACUACCAACUAUUUCCCCAGCACAAGAGGAGUUUUCACCUGGACCCUUGACUGGGUGCCCUACUAGAAAGAAAGGUUUUGAGGGAGAAAGGCAAGAGAGAGAGGGUUCACUCAGGAAUACUCAAUAAAGGAUAACCCUGGGAAGGUCUUAGGUGUGGCUUUACAUCUGUCCCAGGUACAUGCAUGGCCAUUGAGUGAGGUACUGAAACAGAGAGCAGAGACACCUGCUGGAGACAGGGCAGGCUGUGGAAGGAUGAAAGGGGGUAAGGUCUCAGCCCUGGCAGAGUUGUUCCAUCAGAAUCCAGAGGAAGAGGUCACCAUAGGGUGUGAGAAAGGAUGCUGUGUGACUGUCCUACAGGUGAUGAUCUACAGUCCCUCGACUGAUAGGAGACUCAGGACAGCUGUCUGCAGUGAGUGGUUCCUCCCCCAGAGGAGGAGUGAAAGGGCUGUACAGUGCUGGGGAGGUCAGAAGAAUUGUUAGCCCUUGAAACACAACGGGACCUGGAAAGACCUCUGUUCAGAAAUCUCAUAGAUCAAACACACAUACCCCACUGCCUUCCAGUCCCUACAAGGUUUGGGUGACCAUAGAAGACUCCUACAGCCAGGGUCCUAUUUUUCUUUGUGCAGUCCAGGCAUUAACAUCAUUGUUUUAUUUAUUGUGUGACUGGGGAAUGGUAGACCAGAAGCAGCAGCAGAAGCAGCUUCUAGCAGCUGAUUUUGAAUUCAGGCCUUUUUAACUCUCAGAGCCCUGCUCUCUUUUCUGAGAGAGAGAGGACACAAAACUGGUCCACAGACCUGUUUUCUAUGUGGAUGAGAACAGGAGAGUAGGCAGAAGGUCUUAUUCCAGGCCCUGGUCCUACAGACAUAUUGGCAUCACAGGACCUGGACUCUCCCUCUCAGGCAGAGUGGUUGGUUCACAGUCUAUGCAGAGGAGGAAGUUGGAUGAUGCUGUACUUCAAACAUACCACGUGAUUUCUGGCUCCACCCCACCCCAUCCCACUUCCUGAGGUUUUGUCACCCUGCAGUAAAUUAUGGGGACAGAAACCCAUACCCAAGGGGAAGGCAAUGGCUUCUACAUGGCUGGGCACCCACUCUGCUGGGAACAUCUAUGAAGCUUCUCUCUGGAAACUGCAUGUGUCCUAGAAACUCAAAGGUGACUGAGACUCCCAUCCCUACCUCAAGGAACUUGUACUCUUGUUCAGGUUACAGUUUCUGCAAUGGGUAAUGAGGGCUAAAAAUAGAACUACAGAAAAAUGAAGCAAAUUAA